rnacentral:lncRNA from 1 species
GAAAAGUAAUACACUGAUUUUUCACAUGCUGAAUAUGUAGUAGAGGAUAAAAUCCCUCUUAAAAGUAUAUUUGUUAGAAAUGAGCAUUAGAAUAAAUGUUUUCCCACAGAAAACCAGUGGGAAUAUUUAUUAGGCUGUAAUUAUAAUGUGUUUCAAAGCACUCUCUUCCUUUUGACCAUCUUUCAGACAAGGAAGGAAAAGGGAAAAGGAGAAACUGUGUAGCCCAAGGACUUUUAAAACUUCUGAGCAUGGCCUGAUAAGCAGUGUGUAGGUCCACGCCUAGGAUCCAAACCCGCGAACCCUGAGUUGCCGAAUCAGAGCACGUGGACUUAAGCACUAUGCCACCAGCUACUUAUCUGUGUGAGUCCAGAUUUUCUUCAUAUUCUUCAAUCAAAGUUGCAAUUGACUGAAUGUAAAAGCAGAUAUGAGAAUCCAUCUGUCUUUUUUUUUUUUGGUGAGAAAGAGCAGCCCUGAGCUAACUUCUGUUGCCAAUCGUCUUCUUUUUGCUUGAGGAAGAUCGUUGCUGAACUAACAUUUGUGCCAGCCUUCCUCUAUUUUGUAUGUUGGAGGCAGCCACAGCAUGACUUGAGCGGUGUGUAUGUCCACACCCAGGAUCUGAACCUGUGAACCCCAGGCCGCUGAAACUGAGUGCACGAACUUAACCACUACACCACCAGGGUGGCCCCCCAUCUGUCUUUUAUUAAGCAUGACAUUAAAGAUGCCACUCUUCUCAUUAAAUUUUUUUGUUUUGAAAAUUGUUUUGUGUUUUUAAAGAUUUUAUUUUUCCUUUUUAUCCCCAAAGCCCCCUGGUACAUAGUUGUGUAUUUUUAGUUGUGGUCCUUCUAGUUGUGGCAUGGGGGAUGCCGCCUCAGCAUGGCUUGAUGAGCAGUGCCAUGUCCGCGCCCAGGAUCCAAACUGGCAAAACCCUGGGCCACUGAAGCAGAGCGCACGAACUUAACCAC